rnacentral:rRNA from 1 species
GUACAGGUGGGCGAGAUGAGUAUUCUAAGGCGCUUGAGAGAACUCGGGAGAAGGAACUCGGCAAAUUUGUACCGUAACUUCGGGAUAAGGUACGCCCUAGUAGUUUGACUGGCCUGCGCCAGAAGGACAAACGGGUUGCAAUAAAAAGGUGGCUGCGACUGUUUAAUAAAAACACAGCACUCUGCAAACACGAAAGUGGACGUAUAGGGUGUGACGCCUGCCCGGUGCUGGAAGAUUAAAUGAUGGGGUGCAAGCUCUUGAUUGAAGUCCCAGUAAACGGCGGCCGUAACAAUAACGGUCCUAAGGUAGCGAAAUUCCUUGUCGGGUAAGUUCCGACCUGCACGAAUGGCGUAACGAUGGCCACACUGUCUCCUCCCGAGACUCAGCGAAGUUGAAAUGUUUGUGAUGAUGCAAUCUACCCGCGGCUAGACGGAAAGACCCCAUGAACCUUUACUGUAGCUUUGCAUUGGACUUUGAACCAAUCUGUGUAGGAUAGGUGGGAGGCUUUGAAGUAGGGACGCUAGUCUCUAUGGAGCCAUCCUUGAAAUACCACCCUGGUUUGUUUGAGGUUCUAACCUUGGUCCGUUAUCCGGAUCGGGGACAGUGCAUGGUAGGCAGUUUGACUGGGGCGGUCUCCUCCCAAAGUGUAACGGAGGAGUUCGGAGGUACGCUAGAUACGGUCGGACAUCGUGUUGAUAGUGCAAUGGCAUAAGCGUGCUUAACUGCGAGACUGACAAGUCGAGCAGGUACGAAAGUAGGACAUAGUGAUCCGGUGGUUCUGUAUGGAAGGGCCAUCGCUCAACGGAUAAAAGGUACUCUGGGGAUAACAGGCUGAUUCCUCCCAAGAGUUCAUAUCGACGGGGGAGUUUGGCACCUCGAUGUCGGCUCAUCACAUCCUGGGGCUGUAGCCGGUCCCAAGGGUAUGGCUGUUCGCCAUUUAAAGUGGUACGUGAGCUGGGUUUAAAACGUCGUGAGACAGUUUGGUCCCUAUCUGCCGUGGGCGUUGGAAGUUUGAAGGGGGCUGCUCCUAGUACGAGAGGACCGGAGUGGACGAACCUCUGGUGUAUCGGUUGUCACGCCAGUGGCAUUGCCGAGUAGCUAAGUUCGGAAGAGAUAACCGCUGAAAGCAUCUAAGCGGGAAACUCGCCCUGAGAUGAGACUUCCCGGGAGUUUAACUCCCCUAAAGGGUCGUUCGAGACCAGGACGUUGAUAGGUCAGGUGUGGAAGCGCAGUAAUGCGUUAAGCUAACUGAUACUAAUUGCCCGUGUGGCUUGUCCG